UAUAAAGAUGAUCUACCCCUUAAACGUGAUAUUGAUAUAUUUCCAUCACAGAAUGGUCGACUUUAUUUCUCUUAUUUUCUGGAAUCGGGGAGAUUUGUAUGUUCUGUUACCUUGAAGAAACCAGAAAGCGACGAGUCAGUACCACAAACAGAGAAUAGUACGGCUACCAACGUCUUGUUUACUCUCCAAGGUUCACAAUACAACCGUCACACAAGCGUGAUCCCACAAUUCCCUGACGAAUUUCCCGCCGUUUUCCCAUAUCCACCAAUGGCAGGCGAAGAUUUAAGAUUAGAGUGUGCUGCUUUCGGACGAGUCGAGUCCUAUUCUUGGACAAGAGAGGGUGGAGGACUACCUGCUAAUGUACGAUAUGAACUGGAUAAUCACGUAUUAGUCAUACCAAACGCCAAGAUGGAAGAUAGCGGUCUUUAUACCUGUACAGCCCAUGGCCGUUAUUUAUUAACACCAGGAGAAUAUGAUAACCAUAAAUCAUAUAAUUUGACUGUUCAAGCUAAACCAUACUUUACCCAGAUAUUAAAGGAUGAACGUGUAACUGAGGGUAGUAAAGUAUCAUUUCGGUGUGAAGCUAAAGGAGAACCUGCGCCAUCUUAUAGAUGGAUUAAGAAUGAACAGAUUAUACGACCUAUAAAAUGGGAUAUCGAUAUAAAAGAUAAUGUUUUAACGAUCCAUGCAGCGUAUGAACGAUAUGGAGGCCUGUAUCAAUGUCAGGCUACAAACAUCCAUGGUUCAGUAUAUACUAGUGCACAGUUGCGAGUAUCAGAUGUUAAAGUGAUUGGUUAAUGAGUUGAUGAGUACCAUGGUAUUAUUCACCAGAGUAGAAGCUAUUUUUUAGUGUCAAAUGAGAACUGGAUGAAUAAUGGAUAUAUUUCUGAUCUUAAUUAACCAUACAUUAUGCAAGAGCUAAAUCUGCCUACUGAAGGUCUUUCUUUAGGCCUGAAAUGUUUUCUAAUUUAUUAAUUACACAUUAAUUAACUUAUUCAGGCCAUAAUCAAUUCUCGAUGGCAUAGUUCAGCCAUAUUUUGAUUUAAGCUAAAAAUGGAGUAGUGAGACUUACCCUCGAACAACCAGUCCGUUUGUUGAAAUUAUUGCACACGUCUGUCAAACCUUCAAAGGGUAAUAUCUUCGCUUGCAAUAGAGUAAUCUGAAUGAAAAUUUCAAAUUAUUCAUUUUGCAUUAUCUAUUUUCGA